ACCUUAAGUAGUAUAUUCAGGCUAUCAUUAAUUAUAAUUUGAAACUUUGCCAAUGCAGUUUGGGGUAAAGCCUGCCCACAGAAGUCAAAUCAUGUCUUCAUUAACUGUUAGGAGCUGCUGUUCUCCUUCUCUAUUCCUUGAAGAAAGCUUUUCUGGAAAAAUUCUGAUGUUGAUAACGACUUAAAGGGACAGAGGAAGACUGCGCUCACUCAUCUGCUCUUACCCAUAAAAGAUGGGAAACAAUCUGAAAGUCCACCCAGAGGGGAACAGCUAAAUGAACGAGGAUAUCACCACGUGCUGGGACAAUGCGACACCAUGGUAAAAAGAACAAGACUUCCUGAGCCAGAGCAGAAAGAUAUGGGCACACUAAAUGUGCCCUUCGUGUGGAGCACGGUACAGCCAAAAUGAGGGCUCCUUCACUUGCUCUGAUGCACAGAACUGGGACCUAAGACUCCCAAACCAGCAGAAGCCUUGACUGUGGUGCUUUUCAAAUGAGCGGAUCUGUCAACAUACGGGACUGACAGCAUUCCAACACAACAGUAACAGAGGCGAUAUGAAGUCUUCCUCUAAAGUGUCACAGAUAAUAACGUAAAACAUAACUCUACUAAAACUAUACACAAAUACAAGGGUCUGAUACCACUAUGUCUCACUCUCAUCACCAGAAGUCUAUAAAAUCGCAGUCACACUAGAGUUAUUGUCUUAAAAUGAAAAUAAAUUAUACAAAAAUGUUAACUCUAAUUACCCCUAGCUAAAAAGACUGCAAAAAAAUUACACUGUGGUUAAGAGUUAAUAAUGGAGAGAAAACUCAAUAAGGGGAGUGUGUGUGUAUGUGUGUAUACGACAUCCCAACUUCUUAAAUGUAAAUAACUAUGAGCAGGACUAGAACCCAUUUAGAAAGGGGUGGGGGACAUAUUACACGAAAACAAAAUCUUUAAAAUUCUGAAGUAAUAUGAGUCAGAAAGUGCUCUUGAACUGAGAAGUCCUUGUUAGACAAUCUAAGCCAAUGACAUUCCAUGUUUAGAGACAACUACAGAGGGAACUAAUGUGAAUGUAUUUAAUUUUGUUUUCUCUUCACAAAACUUGUUGUGGGAUAGAUAAAAGGAGAUCUGAGCCUUAAAUCUUCAUCUUAAAUUAAGAAUAUCUGUUUUAGGUCUUGUCACCAGUCACCACAGGAAAACAAGCCUAACUCGGGAGUGAGCGUACACUGUAAACCUAUUAUUUUUGACACAUGAU